rnacentral:SRP_RNA from 1 species
GCUGGGCAUUGUGGCGGGCACCUGUAGUCCUAGCUACUUGGGAGGCUAAGGUGGGAGAAUUGCUUGGGCCCAAGAGUUUGAGGUUGCUGUGAGCUGUGAUGCCAUGGCAUCUACCCAGGGUGACAGUUUGAGACUGUCUCAUAAAAGAAAAAUACAGGUAACAGGUAAAUGUAUCUGUUCCAACUUAUAUACAAACUCAAGAACCUACAGAACCUAUGACUGCCUGUGUACGAUAAACUUUUAUUUUUUUUUUGGAGACAGAGCCUCAAGCUGUCCCCCUGGGUAGAGUGCUGUUGCAUCACAGCUCACAGCAACCUCAAACUCCUGGGCUCAAGCGAGUCUCCUGCCUC